GGUCAAGGUCCAGCCUAGCCCAUUGGCAUGUUCGAACGAGGAUCUUCGGUAUCUAGUGGCGCACGGGUGCGUAACGCGUGGGACUCUGCCCUUGGGUACGGAAUAACUCAGAGAAAUUUGUGCUAAUACCGUAUAAUGUCUUCGGACCAAAGAUUUAUCGCCCAAGGAUGAGCCCGCGUAGGAUUAGCUAGUUGGUGAGGUAAAAGCUCACCAAGGCGACGAUCCUUAGCUGGUCUGAGAGGAUGAUCAGCCACACUGGGACUGAGACACGGCCCAGACUCCUACGGGAGGCAGCAGUGGGGAAUAUUGGACAAUGGGCGAAAGCCUGAUCCAGCAAUGCCGCGUGAGUGAUGAAGGCCCUAGGGUUGUAAAGCUCUUUUACCCGGGAUGAUAAUGACAGUACCGGGAGAAUAAGCUCCGGCUAACUUCGUGCCAGCAGCCGCGGUAAUACGAGGGGAGCUAGCGUUGUUCGGAAUUACUGGGCGUAAAGCGCGCGUAGGCGGUUUUUUAAGUCAGAGGUGAAAGCCCGGGGCUCAACCCCGGAAUUGCCUUUGAAACUGGAAAACUAGAAUCUUGGAGAGGUCAGUGGAAUUCCGAGUGUAGAGUUGAAAUUCCUAGAUAUUCGGAAGAACACGGUGCCGAAGGCGACUGACUGGACAAGUAUUGACGCUGAGGUGCGAAAGCCGGGGGGGAGCAAACGGGGAUUAGAUACCCCUGGGUGUCCCACGGC
rnacentral:rRNA from 1 species